ACUGUGUUCAAAAUUUUCUUCCGUUAUAACUAAAAAAAUAUUCAUUAUGAUGAAUGCCAUACGAUAUAAGAUACACGUUUGUUACAUUUACUCAAUGGUUUUAAGGCUUAUGAUAGCAAAGGAGGAAAAUCUUUUUGUCCAAUGGUGGACACAAUUCAGACCGGUCCCUUAUUGAUAGAACAGGAUCAAAUUAAAACAAUCGUCAUUCAAGGAAAGAAUUUCCCAGAACCAGACGAAUAAAGAGGUCAUCUAAAGUUACCAAAAAGGACACUGAAAGUAAAAGGCAGAAGAAAAUCAAGUACUCAGUUAUUUUUUCACAUCGGUAAGAUUAAAGACGUUUUACCCAAAGGCUCAUAUAAGGCAAUCAUGAAAGUUUUGUGGACAGAACAAGAAUUUAACAUUGAAACUAGUCAUUUAACAGUGACUUUGUACAGCUGUCCUGACCAAGCCCUUGGAGACUGUACCUUCUGUAAGAAUCUGGAGCUCAGUAAUCCUGCAAUGAAUUGUAAAUGGUGCGGUCAUCAAUGUGUCUACAGUCUAAACAACUGUUCAGAAUCAAUAUGUCCAGUACCAAUUGUAAACAAUGUAAGAAAUUAAGCUUUUUUUAUUCUGAUUACAAGAAUUAAGGAAUUUAAACCCUCGAAAAAUAUUACAAGCCUUUCUCUUGAUCAUAAAAGCGUGUCAUGUCUUUAGUGCUAUAUCAUAUUUUAAA